UAUUGGAAAUUUGAACUGACCUGCAGCCCCACCUCUGGAGCUGGUAAUUACUGAUGGAGUGUUAAGGAGCACCUUAAAAAACUGAUCACCGCCAUCAGCACCUAACACACGUCCCGCAAGCCAACCACGAACUGGUGAGGAGUAAGAGGCUGGUGCAUCCACUGCUCCAACAUCCAGACAUGUGAGACAUGUCAUGCAUCUCUUUGUUACUAAAGAGCAAUUACAGUUUUUUUGCAAAGGGCAACCUUUUCAUGCAUCGAGAAAAAACAA